rnacentral:tRNA from 1 species
AGGGACUUAGGUUUAACCAGACCAAGGGCCUUCAAAGCCCUAAGCGGAAGUGAGAAUCUUUCAGUUCCUG